GGAAGCGAGCCUUGGCGCCAUUCCCGGGCCGACCUCCAUUCCAAGCAGACGCACGGCAAGACGCUCCUCACGAUGGCGCCAAAUAUUCACGAUUAUAACGCCGCAGCCCGGUUAUUAGGCAAUAGCACUACUUAAUUAAGUUGCCCUGACACAACAUGUAAGGGGCAGAAACAGAAGAUUGCAGCACCCAAUACCUACCACGACAUGCUACUACACACAAUACUAGCACAGCCAUACCAAGAAAACAAGGUGGACAUUUUAGAACUAUUGUUAUGUAAAGAAGCAAUAAGACUGUGAAGUCAAGAAAGACCUGAUCAGAAGAAUGGGGAAGAAGAGAAGAAGAAAAGAAAACUGACCUCUUUUACAAUACACAGGUUACUGGACCCCUCCCUUUUACACAGACUACUACUACUACUGCUACUACUACUACUACUACUACUACUACUACUACCAUAUUGCAGCUUUAAUCAAGAAACUUGAAACAUGCAUAAACAGAAGGAAGGAAAUUAAAUAUAUGCAAGAAUUUUGGAAGAAUCGCUUAAAAUCCGAGAAGAGACGGCAGCACUCAACCAGGCACAAGAAAAUCAAGAAGUGGAGGCUCCGAACUGCACUGAACUGAACUGUAAACUUUAUCAGAAGGGAGGAUAUUAAAUAUACUCAAGAAUUUUAGAAGAAUCGCUUAAAAAUCAGAGAAGAGAAGGCAGCACAACCAAGCACAAGAAGACCAUUUAGAGGGGCAAAGGCAACCCUCCGAACAGAACUGGAAACAAACAGAAGGGAGGAAAUUAAAUAUACUCAAGACUUUUAGAAGAAUCGCUUAAAAUUGGAGAAGAAAAGGCAGCACAACCAGGCACAAGAAGACCAUUUAGAGGGGCCGCUGCAAAGGCACUCCCUCCGAACUACACUGCACUGAACUGACCUGGUUACGGCGCCUGUACAAGUGACCCGGGAUGGAGUAUUGGCGGCAGGGCAGCUCUACGAAAGCUGCUGUGGGAGUGCUGCCCUCCACAGCAAGCAAGGGGCUGCCCUGCCCAGACCACAGCAAGAGGAGGAAGAGCUCUGCAUUACUAAGUUAAGUACCUCACUAUGACAUUCUGAGGGUUUGGCCUCAUUUUUGCCUUCUAUUCAAAACUUUUUACUUUCUAAUGAACCUUAAUCUUUUUCUCAGCCUGCCUCCUCCUCCUCCUCCUCCUUCAACUUCCUUUACCUCCUUGUGUGAAUCUGUCCGUCCCGAGAUCCGGCGAGACCAUCCCGACGUCGUAACACCCGUUUGGGAGUGGGGGGACUCAUGAAGCUGGGGGCGGCAGCCCUAAGGUGGGGAGGGUUGCGCCGACACCUCCACUCCGUUUCGGCGGAAUGUGGCUGGCUAGGGUGGCCUGAACCACUGUCUGGGUUGUUUGUCGUUCAGUCGGAUUGAGGAUCUGCCUCCCUUGAGGUGCACAUGUCAUAGUGAUGGCAGAAGAGAGAGUGAGUGAAGCUGAUGUCAUCCCGACGUCGUAACACCGUUGGGCGGGGCGGGGCUCUCAUGUCAAGUCUCCCCGCGGUGCACAUGUCACAGAGGUGCAAAUAGCAUGGCCUUCUUUCCUAUCUUUUCCCCCUCCUCCUCCUCCACCCCCUCCCCCACACACACCUCCUGCUGUUAUAUCGUCACCCUCAUAAAGUAAUUGCCUAAGUCAUUUUUCAGUGAUUUCCAUUUUUGUUAAGUUGUCUUAGAUAUUCAGGGUUUGAGUGUUCUAGAAUUGCCUUUUUAUUUCUGCCUAAAUCUUAAGCCAAAUGAGAUGAUGACGUUCUCUUCUUGAAAAAUAGAAAAUAACGACUUGGGCGGUUUCUUUACGAAGGUGGCGAGAUUGUAAUAGGUUUUGCACCCUCUAUUUAGGGAUGUGCACUAAUUUUUGUCUCUUCUCUUCCCCUCCUCCUCCCCUGGCUGUCCGGGGAACGGAGGAGGAGCACUAGGACGAGGAGGUGAAGGGAGGCGGAGGGAGAGACGACUCGAGCACGUGGAGGCAAGAGACAAGAAGCAGAGACGCAGGAACAGAAAGCUGCUGUGGGAGUGCUGCCCUCCACAGCAAGCAAGGGGCUGCCCUGCCCAGACCACAGCAAGAGGAGGAAGAGCUCUGCAUUACUAAGUUAAGUACCUCACUAUGACAUUCUGAGGGUUUGGCUUCAUUUUUGCCUUCUAUUAAAAACUUUUUACUUUCUAACGAACCUUAAUCUUUUCUCAGCCUGCCUCCUCCUCCUCCUCCUCCUUCAACUUCCUUUACCUCCUUGUGUGAAUCUGUCCGUCCCGAGAUCCGGCGAGACCAUCCCGACGUCGUAACACCCGUUUGGGAGUGGGGGGACUCAUGAAGCUGGGGGCGGCAGCCCUAAGGUGGGGACGGUUGCGCCGACACCUCCACUCCGUUUCGGCGGAAUGUGGCUGGCUAGGGUGGCCUGAACCACUGUCUGGGUUGUUUGUCGUUCAGUCGGAUUGAGGAUCUGCCUCCCUUGAGGUGCACAUGUCAUAGUGAUGGCAGAAGAGAGAGUGAGUGAAGCUGAUGUCAUCCCGACGUCGUAACACCGUUGGGCGGGGCGGGGCUCUCAUGUCAAGUCUCCCCGCGGUGCACAUGUCACAGAGGUGCAAACAGCAUGGCCUUCUUUCCUAUCUUUUCCCCCUCCUCCUCCUCCACCCCCUCCCCCACACACACCUCCUGCUGUUAUAUCGUCACCCUCAUAAAGUAAUUGCCUAAGUCAUUUUUCAGUGAUUUCCAUUUUUGUUAAGUUGUCUUAGAUAUUCAGGGUUUGAGUGUUCUAGAAUUGCCUUUUUAUUUCUGCCUAAAUCUUAAGCCAAAUGAGAUGAUGACGUUCUCUUCUUGAAAAAUAGAAAAUAACGACUUGGGCGGUUUCUUUACGAAGGUGGCGAGAUUGUAAUAGGUUUUGCACCCUCUGUUUAGGGAUGUGCACUAAUUUUUGUCUCUUCUCUUCCCCUCCUCCUCCCCUGGCUGGCCGGGGAACGGAGGAGGAGCACUAGGACGAGGAGGUGAAGGGAGGUGCAGGGAGAGACGACUCGAGCACGUGGAGGCAAGAGACAAGAAGCAGAGACGCAGGAACGGAAAGGCAGCCAGAUGGUCGAUGCUGUGAAGAGGAGGAAGAUGACUGCAGGAGGCGGUGUGUGUGUGUGUCGGGGAAGGAGAUAACGGCACCACCCUCACACACAACGGGUUAAGGCCUGCAAGAGAGCCUAGUCAAUGAAGAGGAAAAGAAGACAAGAAUAAAGAAUAAAGAAGACAAGAAGAAAGAAAAAAGAAGAGGCAAAACAGGAGGAGGGGAUUUUUUUUCUGUCUAUACCUGAGGUGUCAUGAAUUUACUAAGGGUGUAUUUAAGUCUGAUAUCACGCGGUGCAUUUAAAUAAGGUAUAUUUAACGGUACCAGUGUGUAGCCUACUUUUGCCUGGAGUUGGAGACGGUAAAAUGCUCUCCGACUCCUUUAUUGUGGUGCUGUGUGGUUUGUUUACUGUGGUGCGAUGUGGGUCAUUUACUGUGGUGCGGUGUGGCUCGUUAACUGAGGUGAGGUAUGGUUUGUUUAUUGUGGUGCGGUAUGGUUCGUUUACUGUGGUGCGGUGUGGCUCGUUAAUUAAGGUGAGGUGUGGUUCAUUUAUUGUGGUGCGGUGUGGUUCGUUAAUUAAGGUGAGGUAUGGUUCGUUUACUGUGGUGCGGUAUGGUUCGUUUACUGUGGUGCGGUGUGGCUCGUUAAUUAAGGUGAGGUGUGGUUCAUUUAUUGUGGUGCGGUGUGGCGUUGCGGGCUUUACUUUCCCUACCACUGCACGGUGGAGUCAAAUUUUUUUAUAUCCGACUCCACACCUGUGUUAGAGUGUAAGAGUAUUGAUGGAAUAUAUUUAAGGUGCUGGGGGAUACUGUGGUGCGCUUGUCGCGGCAACCCAUUCUGCUUCUGCAUAACCCGUUCUGCUGCAUGACGCAUAGCAACCCGUGUUUUUUCCGCUGUUGCAACGACCCUUACUGCUGCAUGACGCAUAGCAACUCGUGUUUUUUUCUGCUGCCGCAACGACUCGUACUGCUAACGCAUAAUGACCUGUGCUGCUUCUGCUAUUGUAACAACUCUUACUGCAAUAACUUACUGCUGCUUCCAUUUAAAAACGUAUAAACGCAUAAACCCGCUGUGUUGCCAACUUGUCAACAACCCAACUAAUGAAUUUUCUGAUCAAAGAUCAAAGAGAGGAUUAGGCCUUCAGGGGACACCUCUUAAAUAAAAACGCGCCUGGGACUUUUACCUCAGAGGUGGUGUGGAAAAAAAGUCCAGUCACGAAAAUAAGUAUCUUAUACUCCAUGAAAGUGUCUCAGUCUUAUGAGAACGCAAAGGUUGAGAGGGCUCAAACAUUCUGUUACACUCCCAUGUUAGCAGUAAGGGUACUAAAUUUUGAUCUCUGUACAAAACAACCAAAUAAUAAGGAAAAGAAAGUUGAAUAAAAUGUGUGCCUGCAUUCUCCGUCAGCAGCGUAGACGUAACAAGGGUUGAAAAAAAUGAGUUAUUUAAUACAGCGGCUGGCCAACGUCUUGACCCCAGAGGCUUUGUGUUUGUCUCCGCGUCCUCCGCACUACACUGCACAGAAUCUGGCGAGCCUGGGUUGUGACAGCUAUUUCCCAAAGCCUCCAAGGAUACCAGUCAGGCUUAUGAGUGUUUUUUGUGUUGUUGGGGAAGCCUUGUCUAGGCUCGCAAAUCUACACCUGGAAAUACUACUACCAACACAACCCAUAUGAAAGCCUUUCCUAAAACAUAAAACCUCUACCAGUGCCUUACCAGACGGCACCACUGAUAUUAGUGUCCCUCAUAUGUUGUGUCAUUGAGGGAGUGUUUGGGUCUAUUAUUUGUUCUAUAUAUAUAAGAUAUUGAAUUUGCACUUAUUUUUUAUACGGAUGUUAGUGUCCCUCAUAUGUUGUGUCAUUGAGGGAGUGUUUGGGUCUUUCAUUUUUUUGUUUUGAUGCCCCUUUAUGGAUCUAAAUAAUGACAUCCACCUUAAAAUAAAUGUAUGUGUCUGUGGUCAUCCCAAAGCUGAAGGUUGGUAUCUACUCCACUGUUUUUCAUGUUUUCUCGGACAGUUCAUAUUAUUAGCAAAUGUUUUUACCCGUCCGCUGUGAUUGGCAUGGAUUUCGCCUUCACUGGUAACCUGGUAACAUGUACUCCCAAAUCAUUCUUUGUCUCUGUGGUGGAUAGUGGAGUGUUUCCCAUGUGGUAUUGGUGUGCUGGAUAUCCCUUCACUGGUAGCCUGGUAACAUAUGUACUCCCAGAUCAUUCUCUGCCUCUGUGGUGGAUAGUGGAGUGCUUCCCAUGUGGUACUGGUGUGGUGGAUAUCCCCUCCCAAGGUGCAGGACUAUAUAUUUUUCUUCACUGAAUUGUAGCAGCCACUUUUUGCUCCACUCCUGUAGCUUGGUGAUGUCUUCUUGUAGGAAAUCCACAGUGAAGGGUUUAAGCAAGUGAGAUUUUACCCUCCCAUGACCAGUGUACAGAAGGGACCCUGUAGUUGUUUGAAGGAAUAUUACCAGAUUGAUUAAUUAGAUGGUACAUAUUAGAUUAGGGCAAAAUAUGAGAAUGGGGGCAGGAGACUGGCUUCAACUAGAGGGUAUAAUAUAGAUUGACCCUGUAGUUGUUUGAACGAAUAUUACUGGACUUGGGAGAGAGGGUGGAGGGAGGAGGAGAAAUAUUGAUAAUAGACGAUAGUGAUCCUUUAUAUGGUGAUGAAGGGAAUGGUGAUGGGAAGGUGAUAGGUACU